GCGAGAGUAGCACAACGGCUAGUGCGCCUGCCUUCCAAGCAGGAUACGCGGGUUCGACUCCCGUCUCUCGCU
rnacentral:tRNA from 1 species